UGCGGCGGUUGCGGUCGCGAGCAAGUUGCUAAUCUACUUCUACUUUUGCCACAGGGUACACAUGCACUUACUUCAAGAUGACAACACUCCACCUCAAGAACAGCCUCUCCUCAGUGAUAAGUAGCGAGAUUAAAUGAAAGGGAGAUAUCACAUCCGUAACCAGGCUAAUACUGUGUUUUCCUUUCAUUUAACCUCCUUCUGCAUUUAAGGAAGCGUUGAUAUGCCCAAUAAAUGUUUUUGUUAAAUUUC